AACGAACGCUGGCGGCAUGCCUAGCACAUGCAAGUCGAACGAGACCUUCGGGUCUAGUGGCGCACGGGUGCGUAACGCGUGGGAACCUGCCCUUAGGUUCGGAAUAACUCCCCGAAAGGGGUGCUAAUACCGGAUAAUGUCUUCGGACCAAAGAUUUAUCGCCUUUGGAUGGGCCCGCGUUGGAUUAGCUAGUUGGUAGGGUAAAAGCCUACCAAGGCGACGAUCCAUAGCUGGUCUGAGAGGAUGAUCAGCCACACUGGGACUGAGACACAGCCCAGACUCCUACGGGAGGCAGCAGUGGGGAAUAGUGGACAAUGGGCGGAAGCCUGAUCCAGCAAUGCCGCGUGAGUGAUGAAGGCCUUAGGGUUGUAAAGCUCUUUUAACCGGGAUGAUAAUGACAGUACCGGGAGAAUAAGCUCCGGCUAACUCCGUG
rnacentral:rRNA from 1 species